rnacentral:rRNA from 1 species
AGUGGCGGACGGGUGAGUAACGCGUGAGAAUCUGCCUUCAGGUCGGGGACAACAGAGGGAAACUUCUGCUAAUCCCGGAUGAGCCUUAGGGUAAAAAAUUUAUUGCCUGGAGAUGAGCUCGCGUCUGAUUAGCUAGUUGGUAAGGUAAAAGCUUACCAAGGCAACGAUCAGUAGCUGGUCUGAGAGGAUGAGCAGCCACACUGGGACUGAGACACGGCCCAGACUCCUACGGGAGGCAGCAGUGGGGAAUUUUCCGCAAUGGGCGAAAGCCUGACGGAGCAAGACCGCGUGGGGGAGGAAGGCUCUAGGGUUGUAAACCCCUUUUCUUUGGGAAGAACAAAAUGACGGUACCAAAGGAAUCAGCCUCGGCUAACUCCGUGCCAGCAGCCGCGGUAAUACGGAGGAGGCAAGCGUUAUCCGGAAUGAUUGGGCGUAAAGCGUCCGCAGGUGGCAAUGUAAGUCUGCUGUCAAAACCCAGGGCUCAACUCUGGUCAGUCAGUGGAAACUACAUAGCUAGAGUUCGGUAGGGGCAAAGGGAAUUCCCGGUGUAGCGGUGAAAUGCGUAGAGAUCGGGAAGAACAUCGGUGGCGAAAGCGCUUUGCUAGACCGAAACUGACACUCAGGGACGAAAGCUAGGGGAGCGAAUGGGAUUAGAUACCCC